GACGCACGCGCCUCCAACAUCUGGAAUCUCAAAAUCCCCCUAAGGGUGCGUUUGGUUCGAGUUAUCCUGACAGGAUUACAGGCAAUCCUGCCAGGAUAACUGUGUUUGGUUAAUCCGCUAUGUAAUCUAGUCGUUAAUGUAGCAUUACAAAUCGAGCAGGAUUACAUCAAAAAUAUUAACGGGAGGGGGGUCGUGUAUCUUGUAUUACUGAAACCCGUUAAUACUACAUAUUAUGUAAAAUGACAAUUUUACCCUCCAAAAAUUCCAAAUCUAAUUAACAGUAUUAUUUUCAUCUCUCUCUCGCCUUCGUCCCGGCCCUCUCUCUCGCACGCCGCUUUCUCUCGCUCUCUCUCGACGUCUCUCUCUCUCUCUCUCGCGCACGAACACCUAUCAUUUUCUAUUGCGUCGUCCUCCCAAAUAAUUAUCACGAUCUCCUUCCCUCCAUUCGUCAUUUUCGCAAAAAACAAUAUUCAAAUGACUACAACAUGGGCAAUUUUGAAAAAAACUAUACUUUUAUGUCAUGAUUACUAAAUUUUAUAAACUGAACCAAACAUAUUAAUGCUAUAAACACUGUAAUUUAGUAUUACAUUACUGUAUAAAACCAAACGCUCUAAUGCAGCAUUAGUAGUAAUCUCACGCCGAAAUCCAACAUACCUGGAUAUGUCGAGAUACUUUGUAAUAUUACAUAACUCGAAUCAAACGGGCCCUAAAGGUAAAAGUGUUUAGCUGGUUGGUACUUAAGAAAAGGUUGCUUAUAGUGAUAAACUUGUUAAGAGAGAUUGGUUGGACGACCCUAUCUAUGUACUAUACGGGUCGGACGAGAAAUCAGUAGACCAUCUGUUCACCCGGUGCAUAUUCUGUAAGUUUAUUAUAGUGUUAGAGGUGGACGAUAUCCUGUCUCACGACUUGGGGAACGACGUGAAUCUCGUAUGGAAUAGGUGGAUGGGCCGAAAGAAUCGCCUAACGAAGCGAUCCAGACUUACUGACCUAAUAGAUUGUUGGUAGAUUAUAUGAAAGGUCAGAAACGACACAGUUUUUAGGAACACUGCCCCCAACCCUGAGCUAGCGGUCCUCAAACUCAAGUUUCUUGUGAAGGAGUGGGAUUCCCUCCCUGUUUCGUAGUUUUUUUUUUUUUUUUUUUGCUCCCGGGACCUGGUUGUCAUAUAUUUAUAGCCUAAUUCAUCAGUUCAAUAAAUGAAGAGAGUAGCGUGCUACCUCUUUCUUAAAAAAAAAAAUAACUAACAUGGUCGGUCAUAUACAAUUCUCUA
rnacentral:lncRNA from 1 species